AUUGAACGCUGGCGGCAUGCUUUACACAUGCAAGUCGAACGGUAACAGGCCGCAAGGUGCUGACGAGUGGCGAACGGGUGAGUAAUGCAUCGGAACGUGCCCAGUCGUGGGGGAUAACGCAGCGAAAGCUGCGCUAAUACCGCAUACGAGCUAUGGAUGAAAGCGGGGGACCGUAAGGCCUCGCGCGAUUGGAGCGGGCGAUGUCAGAUUAGGUAGUUGGUGGGGUAAAGUCUCACCAAGCAAACGAUCUGUAGCUGGUCUGAGAGGACGACCAGCCACACUGGGACUGAGACACGGCCCAGACUCCUACGGGAGGCAGCAGUGGGGAAUUUUGGACAAUGGGCGCAAGCCUGAUCCAGCAAUGCCGCGCGCAGGAAGAAGGCCUUCGGGUUGUAAACUGCUUUUGUACGGAACGAAACGGUCCUGGUUAAUACCCGGGGCUAAUGACGGUACCGUAAGAAUAAGCACCGGCUAACUACGUGCCAGCAGCCGCCGUAAAAC
rnacentral:rRNA from 1 species